AACCCCCAGCCAGGCUGGGGGUUCCGUAAAGCUUUCAGCUUUGGGCCGUAUAUAAAAAACCCUUUUGAUUUGUUAAAACACCUUGCGGUCUGGCAACUGCAAAGGUUCAACAGGAAAUCAAAAG
rfam:Tatumella morbirosei strain LMG 23360 Contig2, whole genome shotgun sequence.